UACAGAGGGUGCAAGCGUUGUUCGGAUUUACUGGGCGUAAAGGGCGCGUAGGCGGCCACCGCAAGUCGGUUGUGAAAUCUCCGGGCUUAACCCGGAAAGGUCAAUCGAUACUGCGGGGCUAGAGUGCAGAAGGGGCAACUGGAAUUCUCGGUGUAGCGGUGAAAUGCGUAGAUAUCGAGAGGAACACCUGCGGCGAAGGCGGGUUGCUGGGCUGACACUGACGCUGAAGCGCGAAAGCUAGGGGAGCGAACGGG
rnacentral:rRNA from 1 species